UCUGGCAUAGAGUUUGAUCCUGGCUCAGGAUGAACGUUGGCGGCGUGCCUAAUACAUGCAAGUCGAACGAGGUGCUUUUGUAGCAAUACGAGAGUAUCCUAGUGGCGAACGGGUGAGUAACGCGUUGGUGACCUACCCCAAAGUGUGGGAUAACAGUCCGAAAGGAUUGCUAAUACCGCAUGUGGUCAUUGGAUUUAGAAACUGAUGACUAAAGGAGCAAUUCGCUUUGGGAGGGACCUGCGUCCCAUCAGCUAGUUGGUGAGGUAAUGGCUCACCAAGGCGACGACGGGUAGGGGACCUGAGAGGGUGGCCCCCCACAAUGGAACUGAAACACGGUCCAUACACCUACGGGUGGCAGCAGUAGGGAAUAUUGCACAAUGGGCGAAAGCCUGAUGCAGCAACCCCGCGUGUGUGAUGAAGGCCUUCGGGUCGUAAAGCACUUUUCUGGGAGAUGAGAAAGGACANUAUCCCAGGAAUAAGUCUCGGCUAACUACGUGCCAGCACCCGCGGUAAAACGUAGGAGGCAAGCGUUAUCCGGAUUCCCUGGGCGUAAAGCGCGUGCAGGUGGCGCGGUAAGUUAGGCGUGAAAUCUCCCGGCUCACCUGGAGAGGGCGUCUAAUAAUACCGUGGCUUGAAACCAAAAGAGGAAAAUGGAAUUCCCGGGGUAAGGGGGGAAUGGCUUAUAUAUCGGGAAGGAACCCAUGGGGGGAAGGCAACUCUCUGGGGCUGUUUCUGACACCUCAAACCUGACUGCUGGGGGGGCAAGACGGGAUUAGAAACCCGGUGAACCUAGCCCUAACCUAAUGGAUAUUGGGUUGGGAGGGUCAAC
rnacentral:rRNA from 1 species